rnacentral:rRNA from 1 species
UGCCUGAUGGAGGGGGAUAACUACUGGAAACGGUAGCUAAUACCGCAUAACGUCGCAAGACCAAAGAGGGGGACCUUCGGGCCUCUUGCCAUCGGAUGUGCCCAGAUGGGAUUAGCUAGUAGGUGGGGUAACGGCUCACCUAGGCGACGAUCCCUAGCUGGUCUGAGAGGAUGACCAGCCACACUGGAACUGAGACACGGUCCAGACUCCUACGGGAGGCAGCAGUGGGGAAUAUUGCACAAUGGGCGCAAGCCUGAUGCAGCCAUGCCGCGUGUAUGAAGAAGGCCUUCGGGUUGUAAAGUACUUUCAGCGGGGAGGAAGGGAGUAAAGUUAAUACCUUUGCUCAUUGACGUUACCCGCAGAAGAAGCACCGGCUAACUCCGUGCCAGCAGCCGCGGUAAUACGGAGGGUGCAAGCGUUAAUCGGAAUUACUGGGCGUAAAGCGCACGCAGGCGGUUUGUUAAGUCAGAUGUGAAAUCC